rnacentral:rRNA from 1 species
UAAUACGGGGGGAGCAAGCGUUGUUCGGAUUUACUGGGCGUAAAGGGCGCGUAGGCGGCCACGACAAGUCACUUGUGAAAUCUCCGGGCUUAACUCGGAACGGUCAAGUGAUACUGUCGGGCUAGAGUGCAGAAGGGGCAACUGGAAUUCUCGGUGUAGCGGUGAAAUGCGUAGAU